AGUAUAUUGAUAUUUUUUUCUAUUUUUUAAAAAUUUUUUAAAAUGAUAAAAAAAUAUGAAUAAGAAAAUUGAAAAAAAAAUAAAAACACAAUUUUAACCUAACAGUCAAAUCGAGCGGUGCAACUCUGGCGCUCUUAUAAUAAUUAAGGCCUAAUUUUUAAUUAUUGAAUUCAGAUGCUGACAUGAAACUUUCUUUUUUGUCAAACUUGCAGAACCCAUACCAAUCUCACAAUAUAAUUUGGCAGGUUUAUUAAUUGGAUUACUGUUCGAUUGGCAUGUGGCAAUCAGUGUAUUAGGUGCUCCAUUUGUGAUUGCAUUUUUUAUAUAUAAAUGGCGAAGGAGGCACUUAUCCAUGUACAAUGAUGUUGAGGAAUUUCUGCAAAGCCAAAAUAACCUCAUGCCAAUAAGGUACUCUUUCUCAGAAAUUAAGAAAAUGACCAAAGGUUUUAGGGAAAGAUUGGGUGAAGGAGGAUUUGGCACAGUAUUUAAAGGAACACUUCGAAGUGAACGUCUUGUAGCAGUAAAGAUGUUAAGCCAAUCCAAAGCAAAUGGGCAAGAUUUUAUCUGUGAAGUAGCAACCAUUGGAAGGAUCCAUCAUGUGAAUAUAGUGCAACUCAUUGGUUUUUGUGUUCAUGGUUCAAAGCGUGCCCUU